UAAACGAUGUCGACUUGGAGGUUGUGCCCUUGAGGCGUGGCUUCCGGAGCUAACGCGUUAAGUCGACCGCCUGGGGAGUACGGCCGCAAGGUUAAAACUCAAAUGAAUUGACGGGGGCCCGCACAAGCGGUGGAGCAUGUGGUUUAAUUCGAUGCAACGCGAAGAACCUUACCUGGUCUUGACAUCCACGGAAGUUUUCAGAGAUGAGAAUGUGCCUUCGGGAACCGUGAGACAGGUGCUGCAUGGCUGUCGUCAGCUCGUGUUGUGAAAUGUUGGGUUAAGUCCCGCAACGAGCGCAACCCUUAUCCUUUGUUGCCAGCGGUCCGGCCGGGAACUCAAGGAGACUGCCAGUGAUAAACUGGAGGAAGGUGGGGAUGACGUCAAGUCAUCAUGGCCCUUACGACCAGGGCUACACACGUGCUACAAUGGCGCAUACAAAGAGAAGCGACCUCGCGAGAGCAAGCGGACCUCAUAAAGUGCGUCGUAGUCCGGAUUGGAGUCUGCAACUCGACUCCAUGAAGUCGGAAUCGCUAGUAAUCGUGGAUCAGAAUGCCACGGUG
rnacentral:rRNA from 1 species